rfam:Corchorus olitorius cultivar O-4 contig15891, whole genome shotgun sequence.
CUAAAGGAUUUUUUUAAAUCCAAAUAGUUAAAGGUUUAAGCAUAAU